rnacentral:rRNA from 1 species
UACGUAGGGGGCUAGCGUUGUCCGGAAUCAUUGGGCGUAAAGCGCGUGUAGGCGGCUGAGUAAGUCUGCUCUGAAAGCCCGGGGCUCAACCCCGGGAGGCGGGUGGAUACUGCUCAGCUCGAGUCCGGAAGAGGAGUGUGGAAUUCCUGGUGUAGCGGUGAAAUGCGCAGAUAUCAGGAGGGACACCAAUGGCGAAGGCAGCACUCUGGGACGGUACUGACGCUGAGACGCGAAAGCGUGGGGAGCAAACAGG